UACGUAGGCAGCAAGCGUUGUUCGGAGUUACUGGGCGUAAAGGGUGCGUAGGCGGCCCUGUAAGUAUGGUGUGAAAUCUCCCGGCUUAACUGGGAGGGUGCGCUAUAGACUGCGGGGCUCGAGUGUGGGAGAGGAAAGUGGAAUUCCUGGUGUAGCGGUGAAAUGCGUAGAUAUCAGGAGGAACACCGGUGGUGUAAACGGCUUUCUGGAC
rnacentral:rRNA from 1 species